AUUGUGCUGUUGCGUUGUUGUGUGGUGUUGCGUUGUGGUGUUGCGUUGCGUGGUGUUGUUGUGUUGCGGUGUUGUGUUGCAUUGUUGUGUUGCGGUGUUGUGUUGUGUUGUGCUGUGUUGUGGUGUUGUGGUGUUGUGUUGCGUUGCAUUGUUGUGUUGUGUUGUUGCAUUGUGUUGUUGCGUUGUUGUGUUGUGUUGCGUUGUGGUGUUGCGUUGCGUGGUGGUGUUGUGUUGUGUUGUUGUGUUGUGUUGUGGUGUUGUGUUGCGUUGUUGUGUUGCGGUGGUGUGUUGCGGUGGUGUGGUAUUGUGUUGUGUGGUUGUGUUGUGGUGUUGUGUUUUGUUGUGCUGUGUUGUGGUGUUGUGGUGUUGCGUUCUGUGGUUGUGUUGCGUUGUGUUGUGUAGUUGUGUUGCGUUGUUGCGUUGUGCUGUUGCGUUGUGCUGUUGCAUUGCGUUGUGUUGUUGUGCUGUGUUGUGCUGUGUUGUGUUGUUGCAUUGUUGUGUUGCGUUAUGUUGCUGUGUUGCGUUGUGUUGCUGUGUUGUGUUGUUGUGGUGUUGUGUUGUGUUGCGUUGUGCUGUUGCAUUGCGUUGUGUUGUUGUGCGGUGUUGUGUUGUUGCAUUGCUGUGUUGUGUUGCGUUGUGGUGUUGUUGCGUUGCGUUGUGUUGUUGCGUUCUGUUGUUGCAUUGUUGUGUUGUUGUGUUGCGUUGUGCUGUGUUGUGUUGUUGUGUUGCGUUGUGGUGUUGCAUUGUAUUGUGCUGUUGUGCUGCGUUGUGUUGUUGCGUUGUGGUGUUGUGUUGUUGUGUUGCAUCGUUGUGUUGCGUUGUGGCAUUGUGGUGUGUCGUGCUGCGUUGUUGCACUGUGUCGUGCUGCGUUGUGUUGUUGUGUCGCGCUGUGUUGUUGCGUUGUUGCGUUGUUGCGUUGUUGCGUUGUUGCAUUGUUGCGUUGUUGCGUUGUCGCGUUGUCGCGUUGUCGCGUUGUCGCGUUGUCGCGUUGUCGCGUUGUCGCGUUGUCGCGUUGUUGUGUUGUCGCGUUGUCGCGUUGUCGCGUUGUUGCGUUGUUGUGUUGUCGCGUUGUUGCGUUGUUGUGUUGUCGCGUUGUUGCGUUGUUGUGUUGUCGCGUUGUUGCGUUGUUGUGUUGUCGCGUUGUUGCGUUGUUGCGUUGUUGCGUUGUAGCAUUGCGGGCCCAGAGGCAAAUGUGGGGCCAGGCACAGCACAGAUGUGGGGCUGAGCAGAGUGCAGAUAUGGGGCCAGGCAUAGCACAGAUGUGGGGCCGGGCACAGCACAAAUGUGGGGCCGAGCUGAAUGCAGACAUGGGGCUGGGCCCGACACAGACAUGAGGCCGAGCAGAGUGCAGAUGUGGGGCCAGGCACAGCACAGAUGUGGGGCCAAGCCCAGUGCAAAUGUGGGGCCGGGCCCAGUGGAAAUGUGGGGCUGGGCCCAGCGGAAAUGUGGGGCUGGGCCCAGCGCAGAUGUGGGGCCGAGCCCAGCACAGAUGUGGGGCUGAGCCCAGCACAGAUGUGGGGCCGAGCCCAGCACAAAUGUGGGGCUGAGCAGAAUGCAGAUGUGGGGCCGAGCCCGGCACAGAUGUGGGGCCAGGCACAGCACAAAUGUGGGGCCGAGCAAAAUGCAGAUGUGGGGCCGGGCCCGGCACAGAUGUGGGGCUGAGCUGAAUGCACAUGUGGGGCUGAGCCCAGCACAGAUGUGGGGCCGGGCCCGUCGCAGAUGUGGGGCUGAGCUGAAUGCAGAUGUGGGGCUGGGCCCGGCCCAAAUGUGGGGCCGGGCACAGCACAGAUGUGGGGCCAAGCCCAGCACAAAUGUGGGGCCGAGCAGAAUGCAGAUGUGGGGCCGGGCCUGGCACAGAUGUGGGGCUGGGCCCGUCGCAGAUGUGGGGCUGAGCUGAAUGCAGAUGUGAGGCCAAGCCCAGCACAAAUGUGGGGCCGGGCACAGCACAGAUGUGGGGCCGAGCAGAGAGCAGAUGUGGGGCCGAGCCCAGCACAGAUGUGGGGCUGAGCUGAAUGCAGAUGUGGGGCCGGGCCCAGCACAGAUGUGGGGCUGGGCCCGUCGCAGAUGUGGGGCCGAGCUGAAUGCAGAUGUGGGGCCGAGCCCAGCACAAAUGUGGGGCUGGGCCCAGUACAAAUGUGGGGCCGAGCAGAAUGCAGAUGUGGGGCCGAGUCCAGCACAAAUGUGGGGCCGAGCAGAAUGCAGAUGUGGGGCCAAGCCCAGCACAGAUGUGGGGCCGAGCAGAAUGCAGAUGUGGGGCUGAGCCCAGCACAGAUGUGGGGCUGAGCUGAAUGCAGAUGUGGGGCUGAGCCCAGCACAGAUGUGGGGCCGGGCCCG
ensembl:lncRNA